CACGUAGGGCGCAAGCGUUGUCCGGAAUCAUUGGGCGUAAAGCGCGUGUAGGCGGCCCAGUAAGUCCGCUCUGAAAGCCCGGGGCUUAACCCCGGGAGGCGGGUGGAUACUGCUGGGCUCGAGUCCGGAAGAGGCGAGUGGAAUUCCCGGUGUAGCGGUGAAAUGCGCAGAUAUCGGGAGGAACACCAAUGGCGAAGGCAGCUCGCUGGGACGUGACUGACGCUGAGACGCGAAAGCGUGGGGAGCAAACAGG
rnacentral:rRNA from 1 species